GAAUUCGCCCUUAGAGUUUGAUCCUGGCUCAGGACGAACGCUGGCGGCGCGCCUAACACAUGCAAGUCGAACGAGAGAUGAGGAGCUUGCUCUUCAAAUCGAGUGGCGAACGGGUGAGUAACGCGUGAGGAACCUGCCUCAAAGAGGGGGACAACAGUUGGAAACGACUGCUAAUACCGCAUAAGCCCACGAUCCGGCAUCGGAUUGAGGGAAAAGGAUUUAUUCGCUUCAGGAUGGACUCGCGUCCAAUUAGCUAGUUGGUGAGGUAACGGCCCACCAAGGCGACGAUUGGUAGCCGGACUGAGAGGUUGAACGGCCACAUUGGGACUGAGACACGGCCCAGACUCCUACGGGAGGCAGCAGUGGGGGAUAUUGCACAAUGGGGGAAACCCUGAUGCAGCGACGCCGCGUGGAGGAAGAAGGUUUUCGGAUUGUAAACUCCUGUCGUUAGGGACGAUAAUGACGGUACCUAACAAGAAAGCACCGGCUAACUACGUGCCAGCAGCCGCGGUAAAACGUAGGGUGCAAGCGUUGUCCGGAAUUACUGGGUGUAAAGGGAGCGCAGGCGGGAAGACAAGUUGGAAGUGAAAACCAUGGGCUCAACCCAUGAAUUGCUUUCAAAACUGUUUUUCUUGAGUAGUGCAGAGGUAGAUGGAAUUCCCGGUGUAGCGGUGGAAUGCGUAGAUAUCGGGAGGAACACCAGUGGCGAAGGCGGUCUACUGGGCACCAACUGACGCUGAGGCUCGAAAGCAUGGGUAGCAAACAGGAUUAGAUACCCUGGUAGUCCAUGCCGUAAACGAUGAUUACUAGGUGUUGGGGGAUUGACCCCCUCAGUGCCGCAGUUAACACAAUAAGUAAUCCACCUGGGGAGUACGACCGCAAGGUUGAAACUCAAAGGAAUUGACGGGGGCCCGCACAAGCAGUGGAGUAUGUGGUUUAAUUCGAAGCAACGCGAAGAACCUUACCAGGCCUUGACAUCCCUUGCAGAGGUAUAGAGAUAUAUCCGAGGUUAUCAAGGAGACAGGUGGUGCAUGGUUGUCGUCAGCUCGUGUCGUGAGAUGUUGGGUUAAGUCCCGCAACGAGCGCAACCCUUGUGAUAUGUUACUAACAUUGAGUUGAGGACUCAUAUCAGACUGCCGGUGAUAAACCGGAGGAAGGUGGGGAUGACGUCAAAUCAUCAUGCCCCUUAUGGCCUGGGCUACACACGUACUACAAUGGCGUCUACAAAGAGCGGCAAGCCUGUGAAGGCAAGCGAAUCUCAUAAAGGACGUCUCAGUUCGGAUUGAAGUCUGCAACCCGACUUCAUGAAGCUGGAAUCGCUAGUAAUCGCGAAUCAGCAUGUCGCGGUGAAUACGUUCUCGGGCCUUGUACACACCGCCCGUCA
rnacentral:rRNA from 1 species